rnacentral:rRNA from 1 species
UGGGGAAUAUUGCACAAUGGGCGCAAGCCUGAUGCAGCCAUGCCGCGUGUGUGAAGAAGGCCUUCGGGUUGUAAAGCACUUUCAGCGAGGAGGAAGGUGGUGAACUUAAUACGUUCAUCAAUUGACGUUACUCGCAGAAGAAGCACCGGCUAACUCCGUGCCAGCAGCCGCGGUAAUACGGAGGGUGCAAGCGUUAAUCGGAAUUACUGGGCGUAAAGCGCACGCAGGCGGUUUGUUAAGUCAGAUGUGAAAUCCCCGGGCUCAACCUGGGAACUGCAUUUGAAACUGGCAAGCUAGAGUCUCGUAGAGGGGGGUAGAAUUCCAGGUGUAGCGGUGAAAUGCGUAGAGAUCUGGAGGAAUACCGGUGGCGAAGGCGGCCCCCCUGGACGAAGACUGACGCUCAGGUGCGAAAAGCGUGGGGAGCAAAACAGGAUUAGAUACCCUGGUAGUCCACGCUGUAAAACGAUGUCGAUUUUGGAGGUUGUGCCCCUUGAGGCGUGGCUUCCGGAGCUAACGCGUUAAAAUCGACCGCCUGGGGAGUACGGCCGCAAGGUUAGAACUUAAAGGAAUUGACGGGGGUCAUAGCUG